rnacentral:rRNA from 1 species
UACGUAGGGGGCGAGCGUUGUCCGAAGUUACUGGGCGUAAAGCGCGCGUAGGCGGCUCUUUAAGUCUGAGGUGAAAGGUUCAGCGCUCAACGUGAACAGUGCCUUGGAUACUGGAGAGCUUGAGUUCGGGAGAGGGUAGUGGAAUUCCCGGUGUAGCGGUGAAAUGCGCAGAUAUCGGGAGGAACACCAAUGGCGAAGGCGAGUCCCUGGACAACACCUGACACUGAGGCACGAAAGCUAGGGGAGCAAACAGG